GACGGUUAAGAUAGCAGCUUAGAAAGCUGAUACUCGCUGAAGGCUGCUUCUAUUUUCUGUUUUGCAGGUCCAACUCUGAACAACUCUGACAUCUUGGUCCUUCGGAGCCGGAUGCCAACAGACCAGAAUCUCGUCGGCCCGUGACAGAGAACGCCCGUGGAGUCUGCGGCCGCAGCGCGGGAAUCAGUUCCUGCAGACCCUUUCUGGGUGACGGGUCUCCUCCCUAAUGGGUCGACGCUUACCGGGGUGAAGGCAUACGGACUGCAGCGGUGGUGACAGAGUGUGAUCACGGGACCCUGAGGGUCAGAUCCAGAUCGGCAACUGGGUGUUGAUAAAGACAAAGACCAGAGGAAGAACUGGUCAUCUCCAAGGUGGGAAGGUCCAUUCCAAGUGCUGCUAACCACCCCCACUGAAAAUUGCAGAAAGGUCAUCUUGGGUGCAUCUAUCCCACUGUAAAAGACAAAGAUACCUGAAAGAUCCCGAACAAGACAAGGGGAGCGACGUGUAACAGUGACGGCUGAUGGCCUAUAGGCCCAGUAACGGCUGGAAGCGCAUCACAACAGAGACAGAGAGUGACCAGGAGUGAACAAAGACAAAGACCAGAGAUUGAAGCAGGCGCCAGGAUCCUGAAGCAGAUGAGAAACCAGCUACAACCGAGGAGAAUCCUGUCCACAUAAUCCAGGAUUAGAAGCAGACGUACUACAGGCUUGAAAUAAGAGCACUGACGUGACCAGACCAGGAGAAAAGAAGCAGACAAAACUUCAUCUUUGAGAACGGGAGACAAUCCUGUUCUAUUCCUGUGCACCUGUGUUUAAAGAAAACAUCAAGAACAGGGCACAGGACAGAGUACAUGACACAUUAUUUUAAUUCCACUUGCAACAUGCUUUACACAUACUGAUGAUAG